GGAGCAGGACAAAUGGCCGCCGCCCCGCCCGCGUGGCGGGGGGGAGGAAAGUCCGGGCUCCGCAGGACAAGGCGCUGGGUAACCCCCAGUCCCGGUGACGGGAAGGAAAGUGCCACAGAGAGGAGACCGCCCCCUCCGGUAUGCCGUAUACCGGAGGGGGUAAGGGUGAAAGGGUGAGGUAAGAGCUCACCAGUCCCGCCGGUGACGGCGGGAGCUCGGUAAACCCCGCCUGGAGCAAGGCCGAAUAGGGGAACGCUUGAGGGCUGUCCGUCCGAGUUCCCGGGUGGGCCGCUGGAUCCCGGUGGUAACACCGGGGCUAGAUGAAUGGUCAUUGUCCCGGAAGCGGGUGACCGCUCCGGGAAACAGAACCCGGCUUAUGGCCUGCUCCGGCA
rnacentral:RNase_P_RNA from 1 species